AUGGCCACCAGCAUAACAUCUACACCAUGCACCCAUUCAAACUAUGUUUGCAAAAGGAAAUGGAUUUGAAAAUUCUUUGCCUGGAAAAAAUGGGGCUGGAUACUGUUCGCAGAAAAACGGGUACAUGAGGUUUUACUGAAAAGCUGGUUUCCAGCAAGACUUAGGAUCAUUUCACUGUGGCUUUCACCAUAUUAGAGGUUUCUACCCUCCUUCAGUUGCUGAUGCAGAUGGGACUUCUAAUAAUUCACAGAGAAGCGAGUGACCGUCUGUCCGUCCUCAUCCACUCAUCAGCUCUGCCUGCCUCCACCGUAUCACGUGUGCUCCCUGUCCCAGCCCUUGAACACAUCUGCUUGCACACUCACACAUGUCUCCACACCUAUGUGUGUGUGAGUGGUACUCCACCUCUCCACUCCAGCUCCCACUACUUCUGCCCACCAUCGGAUGUGGCCUGACCCUCAGCCUGCUGGUUGGGAAGAUGUGUUGAAGAAGCCCAUCCUUAGGGUUCUCUUUUGACCCCAAAACAUGGAGAAAUGUGGCCUCGUUGAACUGAAGCCCACACAUCGUUCCCUGCCUCCUGGGAUUUAAGUAAUUCUCACCACAUGGCGUCUUUCAUGGGGAUGGGUCACUCGUGGAGCUGAAGAAGCACCAAAUGGACCUCUUGACUUUCUGUAAAAUCCAACAUGAUGCCAUGCAUCCUGAAUGAUUUGUUCAAGAAUGAAAGUUGAUUUUGAGGAAACAGUGGCCUAAUUUGACCAUUAAGGAUGUCAGGCUGAGUCUGACUCUUAGAUGAAGUAAAGGGUGUGACUUGUUCCAUCAAAGUCAUCCCAGAAGGCUUGAUCUCCAAGUCAGGCUCUCAAGAGUUUUCUCCAGUACCACAGUUGGAAAGCAUCAAUUCUUUGGUACUCAGCC